rnacentral:rRNA from 1 species
AUUGAACGCUGGCGGCAGGCCUAACACAUGCAAGUCGAACGAGUGGCGGACGGGUGAGUAAUGUCUGGGAAAAUGCCUGAUGGAGGGGGAUAACUCCUGGAAACGGUAGCUAAUACCGCAUACCAUCGGAUGUGCACAGAUGGGAUUUGCUAGUAGGUGGGGUACAGGCUCACCUAGGCGACGAUCCCUAGCUGGUCUGAGAGGAUGACCAGCCACACUGGAACUGAGACACGGUCCAGACUCCUACGGGAGGCAGCAGUGGGGAAUAUUGCACAAUGGGCGCAAGCCGGAUGCAGCCAUGCCGCGUGUAUGAAGAAGGCCUUCGGGUUGUAAAUGACUUUAAGCGGGGAGGCGUUACUCGCAGAAGAAGCACCGGCUAACUCCGUGCCAGCAGCCGCGGUAAUUC